UGUAGAAGAUGCAGCUUGCAGAUUAUCAUCCACUCUCUCCGUUUCCCUUCCCACAGCUAUCAUCCGGACUAGCAUUUCCUGUACAUACUAGGGAAGGGAAAUGGAGAGAGUGUAUAAUGAAUUGCAUGCUUGAUUGCUGAG
rnacentral:pre_miRNA from 19 species